rnacentral:rRNA from 1 species
CCUACGGGAGGCAGCAGUGAGGAAUAUUGGUCAAUGGACGAGAGUCUGAACCAGCCAAGUAGCGUGAAGGAUGACUGCCCUAUGGGUUGUAAACUUCUUUUAUAUGGGAAUAAAACGUUCCACGUGUGGGAUUUUGUAUGUACCAUAUGAAUAAGGAUCGGCUAACUCCGUGCCAGCAGCCGCGGUAAUACGGAGGAUCCGAGCGUUAUCCGGAUUUAUUGGGUUUAAAGGGAGCGUAGAUGGGUUGUUAAGUCAGUUGUGAAAGUUUGCGGCUCAACCGUAAAAUUGCAAUUGAUACUGGCAGUCUUGAGUACAGUUGAGGGAGGCGGAAUUCGUGGUGUAGCGGUGAAAUGCUUAGAUAUCACGAAGAACUCCGAUUGCGAAGGCAGCUUACUAAACUGCCACUGACAUUGAUGCUCGAAAGUGUGGGGAUCAAACAGGAUUAGAUACCCCGGUAGUC